GGGCGAUUAGCUCAGUUGGGAGAGCGCCUGCCUUACAAGCAGGAAGUCGGCAGUUCGAGCCUGUCAUCGCCCACCA
rnacentral:tRNA from 1 species